rnacentral:rRNA from 1 species
UACAGAGGGGGCAAGCGUUAUUCGGAAUUAUUGGGCGUAAAGGGCGUGUAGGCGGCUUUUCAAGUGAGGGGUGAAAUCCCUCGGCUUAACCGAGGAACUGCCUGUCAGACUGGAAGGCUUGAGACCGGGAGAGGUGAGUGGAAUUCCCAGUGUAGCGGUGAAAUGCGUAGAUAUUGGGAGGAACACCAGUGGCGAAGGCGGCUCACUGGACCGGAACUGACGCUGAGGCGCGAAAGCGUGGGGAGCAAACAGG